rnacentral:rRNA from 1 species
CCUACGGGAGGCAGCAGUAGGGAAUAUUGCACAAUGGGGGAAACCCUGAAGCAGCAACGCCGCGUGGAGGAUGAAGGUUUUCGGAUUGUAAAGUUCUUUUCUAAGGGAAGAAGGAAGUGUCGGUACCUUCGGCAUCAGCCUCGGCUAACUACGUGCCAGCCACCGCGGUAAUCCGUAGGAGGAGCGCGUUUGCCGGAAGGACUGGGCGCAAGGGGUGCGUAGGUGGUUUGGCAAGUUAGUAGCGUAACUCCAAGGCUCAACCUGGGAACUACUACUAAAACUGGUGGACUUGAGUGCAGGAGAGGGAACCAGAAUUCCUAGUGUAGCGGUGGAAUGCGUAGAUAUUAGGAGGAAUACCAGUGGCGAAGGCGGGUUGCUAGACUGUAACUGACACUGAGGUACGAAAGCGUGGGGAGCAAACAGGAUUAGAUACCCUGGUAGUC